rnacentral:rRNA from 1 species
UUUAUGGAGAGUUUGAUCCUGGCUCAGGAUGAACGCUGGCGGCGUGCCUAAUACAUGCAAGUCGAGCGAACGGACGAGAAGCUUGCUUCUCUGAUGUUAGCGGCGGACGGGUGAGUAACACGUGGAUAACCUACCUAUAAGACUGGGAUAACUUCGGGAAACCGGAGCUAAUACCGGAUAAUAUUUUGAACCGCAUGGUUCAAAAGUGAAAGACGGUCUUGCUGUCACUUAUAGAUGGAUCCGCGCUGCAUUAGCUAGUUGGUAAGGUAACGGCUUACCAAGGCAACGAUGCAUAGCCGACCUGAGAGGGUGAUCGGCCACACUGGAACUGAGACACGGUCCAGACUCCUACGGGAGGCAGCAGUAGGGAAUCUUCCGCAAUGGGCGAAAGCCUGACGGAGCAACGCCGCGUGAGUGAUGAAGGUCUUCGGAUCGUAAAACUCUGUUAUUAGGGAAGAACAUAUGUGUAAGUAACUGUGCACAUCUUGACGGUACCUAAUCAGAAAGCCACGGCUAACUACGUGCCAGCAGCCGCGGUAAUACGUAGGUGGCAAGCGUUAUCCGGAAUUAUUGGGCGUAAAGCGCGCGUAGGCGGUUUUUUAAGUCUGAUGUGAAAGCCCACGGCUCAACCGUGGAGGGUCAUUGGAAACUGGAAAACUUGAGUGCAGAAGAGGAAAGUGGAAUUCCAUGUGUAGCGGUGAAAUGCGCAGAGAUAUGGAGGAACACCAGUGGCGAAGGCGACUUUCUGGUCUGUAACUGACGCUGAUGUGCGAAAGCGUGGGGAUCAAACAGGAUUAGAUACCCUGGUAGUCCACGCCGUAAACGAUGAGUGC